CUCAAAUAAGACAGGCCUCCCAGGUUAACUAAUUUCAGAGCGAUUUUUUAGAUUUAGAAAAUUGGGGUUAGGCGCAGUGGCUCACGCCUGUAAUCCCAGCACUUUGGGAGGCCGAGGCGGAGGGAUCACCUGAGAUCAGGAGUUCAAGACCAGCCUGGCCAAAAUGACUCUUGCUCUGUCACCUAGGUUGAAGUGCAAUACUGUGAUCAUGGCUUACUACAGCCUCAGCUUCCCAAACAAUCCUUCUAACCUCAGCCUCCUGAGUAGCUGGGACCACAGGAAUGUGCCACCUUUCCUGUCUAAUUUAAAAAAAUUUUUUUGUUUUGGACAUGGAGUCUCACUAUUUUGCCCAGGCUGGUCUCAAACUCCUGGGCUCAAGGAAUUUACUUGUUUUGGCCUCCUAAAUCCCGUCAGAUUAUAUGUAUGAGCCACUGUGCCCAGUCUAAGUAAAAUUUUAAAAAUCUCCUUUUCUAAAGAAAAUUGAAUUUGUUGAUAGUAAAGUUUUAAAAUUGGGAAGUUAUAUUGAAAUGUAUCUGGUGCAACUAGUGGAGUUUAAAUUAUUUUUGAUCAAAAUGGAUUCUGAGAAAAUUGUAUGGUUAGAAAACAAAGAAUAUUUGAUUAAGUGAAACAAAGCCCCAGCUGCUGGAGCAGAGGUUCCACUCGGGUUCCACAGACACCCACAGCCCAAAUCCCUGGAGGCCUAAGGCAAUAGCUAAUUGAGACUAUGCAUCACUAUUAAGGCAUCUUCACUAAAGGGCACUGUGGAAACGCUGCCUGAGAUGCGGACACCUGCCAGAAGGGGGCUAAAUUUCAAACAAGGAACGUGGUGUUGCAUCACAAUAAAGUAGAUUCUAGUAUUACCUUCCUUUUUCAGAAGAGGAAACCAAUGGGGAGCGUUGGAAUGAUUUGGUUGCAAGCAUACAACACAACUUGUAAACUGCAGACACAGGCUUAAAAAAAGUGAAAAACUAACCAUGUAAUAAAGAAU
rnacentral:antisense_RNA from 1 species